UAAACAGAGUGAGUACGGUAGUAAACAGAGUGAGUACGGCAGUGUACUAAACAGAGUGAGUAUGGUAGUGUACUAAACAGAGUGAGUACGGUAGUAAACAGAGUGAGUACGGUAGUGUACUAAACAGAGUGAGUAAGGUAGUGUACUAAACAGAGUGAGUACGAUAGUGUACUAAACAGAGUGAGCACGGUAGUGAACCAAACAGAUUGAGUACGGUAGUAAACAGAGUGAGUAGUGUGCGAAACAGAGUGAGUACGGUAGUGUGCUAAACAGAGUGAGUACGGUAGUAAACAGAGUGAGUACGGUAGUUAACAGAGUGAGUACGGUAGUGUACUAAACAGAGUGAGUACGGUAGUGUACUAAACAGAUUGAGUACGGUAGUGUGCUAAACAGAGUGAGUACGGUAGUGUGCUAAACAGAGUGAGUACGGUAGUGUACUAAACAGAGUGAGUACGGUAGUAAACAGAGUGAGUACGGUAGUGUGCUAAACAGAGUGAGUACGGUAGUGAACACAGUGAGUACGGUAAUGUGCUAAACAGAGUGAGUACGGUAGUGUAGUAAACAGAGUGAGUACGGUAGUGUACUAAAAAGAGUGAGUAUGGUAGUAAACAGAGUGAGUAUGGUAGUGUGCUAAACAGAGUGAGUACGGUAGUGUACUAAACAGAGUGAGUACGGUAGUAAACAGAGUGAGUACGGUAGUGAAGUAAACAGAGUGAGUACGGUAGUAAACAGAGUGAGUACGGUAGUGUCGUAAAGAGAGUGAGUACGGUAGUGUACUAAACAGAGUGAGUACGAUAGUGUACUAAACAGAGUGAGCACGGUAGUGAACCAAACAGAUUGAGUACGGUAGUAAACAGAGUGAGUAGUGUGCGAAACAGAGUGAGUACGGUAGUGUGCUAAACAGAGUGAGUACGGUAGUAAACAGAGUGAGUACGGUAGUUAACAGAGUGAGUACGGUAGUGUACUAAACAGAGUGAGUACGGUAGUGUACUAAACAGAGUGAGUACGAUAGUGUACCAAACAGAGUGAGUACGGCAGUGAACUAAACAGAGUGAUCACGGCAGUGUACUAAACAGAGUGAGUAUGGUAGUGUACUAAACAGAGUGAGUACGGUAG
rnacentral:lncRNA from 1 species